rnacentral:rRNA from 1 species
CUCGCCAUUCUUACCACCUGGCACAUUUGGCAGCACCGCAAUGGCUGCCUAUUCGAUGGCACCUCUCCGGAUGUUGGCUGUGUUGUGGGCAUGAUACGCGAUGAGGAACGGUCGUGGGCUCGCGCUGGCGCUGCAGGGAUGUCCCUGCUCCUACCCGAGACGUAG